rnacentral:rRNA from 1 species
ACGGGUAACGGGGAAUUAGGGUUCGAUUCCGGAGAGGGAGCCUGAGAAACGGCUACCACAUCCAAGGAAGGCAGCAGGCGCGCAAAUUACCCAAUCCCAAUACGGGGAGGUAGUGACAAUAAAUAACAAUAUGGGGCUCUUAUGGGUCUCGUAAUUGGAAUGAGUACAAUUUAAAUCUCUUAACGAGGAACAAUUGGAGGGCAAGUCUGGUGCCAGCAGCCGCGGUAAUUCCAGCUCCAAUAGCGUAUAUUAAAGUUGUUGCAGUUAAAAAGCUCGUAGUUGAAUUUCGGAAUUUGUCGGUUGGUCGGGCUUCACUGUCCGCACUGACCUGAUGAAUUUCUACCUUCUGAAUAACCAGCAUGCUAUUUAGUUAGUGCGUUGGGGAAGCAGAGCUAUUACCUUGAAAAAAUUAGAGUGCUUAAAGCAGGCUUAUGCUUGAAUAGAUUAGCAUGGAAUAAUAAAAUAGGACGGCAUGGUUCUAUUUUGUUGGUUUCUAGGAUCACCGUAAUGAUUAAUAGGGAUAGUUGGGGGCAUUAGUAUUCAAUUGUCAGAGGUGAAAUUCUUGGAUUUAUUGAAGACUAACUUCUGCGAAAGCAUUUGCCAAGGAUGUUUUCAUUAAUCAAGAACGAAAGUUAGGGGAUCGAAGACGAUCAGAUACCGUCGUAGUCUUAACCAUAAACUAUGCCGACUAGGGAUCGGACGAUGUUAAUUUUUUAAUGACUCGUUCGGCGCCUUACG